GUAGGGAAUAUUGGGCAAUGGAUGAAAGUCUGACCCAGCCAUGCCGCGUGCCGGAUGAAGGCGCUCAGCGUUGUAAACGGCUUUUAUUCGGGAAGAAGAGCAGGGAUGCGUCCCUGUGUGACGGUACCGAAUGAAUAAGCACCGGCUAACUCCGUGCCAGCAGCCGCGGUAAUACGGAGGGUGCGAGCGUUGUCCGGAUUUAUUGGCUUUAAAGGGUGCGUAGUUGGCCAAAUAAGUCAGUGGUGAAAUACGGUUGCUCAACAAUCGAGGUGCCAUGAAUACUGCUUGGCUUGAAAUAAUUGGAGGCUGCAGGAAUGGAUGGUGUAGCGGUGAAAUGCAUAGAUAUCAUCCAGAACACCGAUUGCGAAGGCAGCUCACUAAGCACAUAUUGACGCUGAGGCACGAAAGCGUGGGGAUCAAACAGGAUUAGAAACCCUGGUAGUCC
rnacentral:rRNA from 1 species